rnacentral:rRNA from 2 species
UGCUGCAUGGCUGUCGUCAGCUCGUGUUGUGAAAUGUUGGGUUAAGUCCCGCAACGAGCGCAACCCUUAUCCUUUGUUGCCAGCGGUCCGGCCGGGAACUCAAAGGAGACUGCCAGUGAUAAACUGGAGGAAGGUGGGGAUGACGUCAAGUCAUCAUGGCCCUUACGACCAGGGCUACACACGUGCUACAAUGGCGCAUACAAAGAGAAGCGACCUCGCGAGAGCAAGCGGACCUCAUAAAGUGCGUCGUAGUCCGGAUUGGAGUCUGCAACUCGACUCCAUGAAGUCGGAAUCGCUAGUAAUCGUGGAUCAGAAUGCCACGGUGAAUACGUUCCCGGGCCUUGUACACACCGCCCGUCACACCAUGGGAGUGGGUUGCAAAAGAAGUAGGUAGCUUAACCUUCGGGAGGGCGCUUACCACUUUGUGAUUCAUGACUGGGGUGAAGUCGUAACAAGGUAACCGUAGGGGAACCUGCGGUUGGAUCAC